GACGAACGCUGGCGGCGUGCCUAAUACAUGCAAGUAGAACGCUGAAGGAGGAGCUUGCUUCUCCGGAUGAGUUGCGAACGGGUGAGUAACGCGUAGGUAACCUGCCUGGUAGCGGGGGAUAACUAUUGGAAACGAUAGCUAAUGCCGCAUAAGAGUAGAUGUCGCAUGACAUUUGCUUAAAAGGUGCAACUGCACCACUACCAGAUGGACCUGCGUUGUAUUAGCUAGUUGGUGAGGUAACGGCUCACCAAGGCAACGAUACAUAGCCGACCUGAGAGGGUGAUCGGCCACACUGGGACUGAGACACGGCCCAGACUCCUACGGGAGGCAGCAGUAGGGAAUCUUCGGCAAUGGACGGAAGUCUGACCGAGCAACGCCGCGUGAGUGAAGAAGGGUUUCGGAUCGUAAAGCUCUGUUGUAAGAGAAGAACGAGUGUGAGAGUGGAAAGUUCACACUGUGACGGUAUCUUACCAGAAAGGGACGGCUAACUACGUG
rnacentral:rRNA from 1 species